CACAUCACAUUGUAACACCGGUUCCCGUACGAUCACCGAAGUUAAGCAACGCCGAGCCUGGUCAGUAUCUAGAUGAAUGACAACUUGUGAAUACUAGUUGCU